GGAAAUCUGGUACAUGGUAUCGUUGCCCUUUGUAUGGUGCUAGAUAACCAACCUUGUUUGGAUAUCCGGAGUCGACAAGAUAAUAUUUAUCUACAGUAGGACAUCAACAUAAGACAUUAUAAAUUUAUAGCAUACCAUGUAUAUUACUAUAUGGGCACAUGAGAGAGAUUACCUGUGGGGGGUUGUGGAAAGUGAUCAUAACGAACUAUGGCAUCACUCCAUACACGUGUGUCACGAACAGAUCCGGGCCAUCCGGGAACAACAAACGUGAACCUCAUAUCAAAAUCACACACUGCCAUAACAUUUUCACUUGUGUAACCUUUUCUAUUCCUGUGUUGGGGCUCCAACUCUUUGGGCACAAUUACCUUGAUGUGUGUUCCAUCAAUGGCUCCAAUAGCAUGUUGAAAAUGAGGCCAAAACUUUGUUUUUGUAAGUACUGGGUGCGGUUCAGAGAAAGUUGAAUCAAUUGGUCUAAUGUAAUCGCCAGCCAUGCGGUCUACACACUCCAAAACCUCGUGAAAUUUUUUGUUAAUGACUGAACGACUAUGUGCAAACCGAUCCGCGACAUUAUCAGUGGUUUGACAUGUACCGACA
rnacentral:lncRNA from 1 species